GAUGAACGCUGGCGGCGUGCCUAAUACAUGCAAGUCGAGCGAACGGACGAGAAGCUUGCUUUUCUGAUGUUAGCGGCGGACGGGUGAGUAACACGUGGAUAACCUACCUAUAAGACUGGGAUAACUUCGGGAAACCGGAGCUAAUACCGGAUAAUAUUUUGAACCGCAUGGUUCAAAAGUGAAAGACGGUCUUGCUGUCACUUAUAGAUGGAUCCGCGCUGCAUUAGCUAGUUGGUAAGGUAACGGCUUACCAAGGCAACGAUGCAUAGCCGACCUGAGAGGGUGAGCGGCCACCCUAGAAAUGAGACGAGGUCCAGACUCCUACGGGAGGCGGCAGUAGGGAAUCUUCCGCAAUGGGCGAAAGCCUGACGGGGCAACGCCGCGUGAGUGAUGAAGGUCUUCGGAUCGUAAAACUCUGUUAUUAGGGAAGAACAUAUGUGUAAGUAACUGUGCACAUCUUGACGGUACCUAAUCAGAAAGCCACGGCUAACUACGUG
rnacentral:rRNA from 1 species